rnacentral:rRNA from 1 species
AAGCUGAGGCCGAUAGGCGUAGGCGAUGGACAACAGGUUGAUAUUCCUGUACCAGUUGCUUUUGUUUGAGCGAUGGAGGGACGCAGGAGGCUAAGGAAUGCACACGAUCGGAAAUGUGUGUCCAAGCAGCAAGUCUGAGAACGAGUGAAAUGCUUUUUCUCUCAAGGACAAGCUGUGAUGGGGAGCGAAAUUUAGUAGCGAAGUUCCUGAUGUCACACUGCCAAGAAAAGCUUCUAGUGAGAAAGUAACUGCCCGUACCGCAAACCGACACAGGUAGUUGAGGAGAGAAUCCUAAGGUGUGCGAGAGAACUCUCGUUAAGGAACUCGGCAAAAUGACCCCGUAACUUCGGGAGAAGGGGUGCUGACCGCAAGGUCAGCCGCAGUGAAUAGGCCCAAGCGACUGUUUAUCAAAAACACAGGUCUCUGCAAAAUCGAAAGAUGACGUAUAGGGGCUGACGCCUGCCCGGUGCUGGAAGGUUAAGAGGAGAGGUUAGCGCAAGCGAAGCUUUGAAUUGAAGCCCCAGUAAACGGCGGCCGUAACUAUAACGGUCCUAAGGUAGCGAAAUUCCUUGUCGGGUAAGUUCCGACCCGCACGAAAGGCGUAACGAUUUGGGCACUGUCUCAACGAGAGACUCGGUGAAAUUAUAGUACCAGUGAAGAUGCUGGUUACCCGCGACAGGACGGAAAGACCCCAUGGAGCUUUACUGCAGUUUGAUAUUGCGUGUUUGUAUCACAUGUACAGGAUAGGUAGGAGCUGAAGAUACCGGGACGCCAGUCUCGGAGGAGGCAACGGUGGGAUACUACCCUUGUGAUAUGACCACUCUAACCCGCUGCUCUUAGCGAGCAGGGAGACAGUGUCAGACGGGCAGUUUGACUGGGGCGGUCGCCUCCAAAAAUGUAACGGAGGCGCCCAAAGGUUCCCUCAGAAUGGUUGGAAAUCAUUCGUAGAGUGUAAAGGCAGAAGGGAGCUUGACUGCGAGACCUACAAGUCGAGCAGGGACGAAAGUCGGGCUUAGUGAUCCGGUGGUUCCGCAUGGAAGGGCCAUCGCUCAACGGAUAAAAGCUACCCUGGGGAUAACAGGCUUAUCUCCCCCAAGAGUUCACAUCGACGGGGAGGUUUGGCACCUCGAUGUCGGCUCAUCGCAUCCUGGGGCUGUAGUCGGUCCCAAGGGUUGGGCUGUUCGCCCAUUAAAGCGGUACGCGAGCUGGGUUCAGAACGUCGUGAGACAGUUCGGUCCCUAUCCGUCGCGGGCGUUGGAAAUUUGAGAGGAGCUGUCCUUAGUACGAGAGGACCGGGAUGGACACACCGCUGGUGUACCAGUUGUUCUGCCAAGAGCAUCGCUGGGUAGCUAUGUGUGGACGGGAUAAACGCUGAAAGCAUCUAAGCGUGAAGCCCCCCUCAAGAUGAGAUUUCCCAUCACUUUAAGUGAGUAAGACCCCUGAGAGAUGAUCAGGUAGAUAGGUUGGGAGUGGAAGUACAGCGAUGUAUGGAGCGGACCAAUACUAAUCGGUCGAGGACUUAACC